GAGGGAAAGAGAGAGGCAAGAACGAGAGGAACAAGAGAAGAGGAAAAAGGAGGAGCAAGAAGCUGCCCAGGCCAAGCAGGAAGAAGAGGAUGCUGGGAUUGAUCCUGUGAUGAAGCAGUACAUGGAGAGGUUAAAAAGACAGAAGGAGGAAGAAAAGGCAAAGGAGGCAGCUGCAGGUUCCCAGUCCAGCAUCUCAGAACAGAUCUCAGCUGCAGACGACUUGGGCAGCAUUGAGGGUGGAGGCUCUGAUGACUUUGAGUGGUAACCAGUCAGCAGUUCCAACUAACAGUACAGAUAUACCAGUCAGUGUUUUUGAGUCUUCUAGAAAAUUAGACGUGCCAACCUUAUUGUGUAACUGUUUAUAAUGUACUUCAUUGUAGGCCAUUAGGCUGUUCCAGAGUCAACCACCGACAAGGAUCUAAGAUAGCCUUUUCCAUAACAAGGCAGCUGAAUUUUACAGGACACACACAGCUAUCACAAGAAUGCCCUCAGUUUGCGAUCCCAAUAUGUAUAUGUGACCAGACCCUAAGUUAGUGUAUAAUGCCAUACCAUUGUUUCUGCCGUCCUUGAAUAAUAUAAUCUAUUGUGGUCCACUCUACAGGUUUUGAAAUGAAAUAUCGCACAAUGUUGUAAGUCAUAUCAAAGUUGGGCAUUUAUUUCCCAUUGGCAUGUUGCAUUGUAACUAAGAAAAGAUGUUCACAAC